UUCAUCACAGCUUGAUUUGUAUCAAUCAGCUGGUUUGUUUUUCUGCAGGACAACAACGUAUAUGUAGAGAUCAGAGAGGUGAACAGACAGAGCAGUUCACCUCCUGCAGGAGUGUCUUUAGUGUACGCUACACCAAAAGCCUCCAACCAGAUGGAGAUGAAAACAAUAGACCUCUACAGCCUCUCCACCUCUCCUCACAACAAAGUACAUGCCAGCCCUGCCGACCACACCACAGAUGCUUCACCUCCUCAUCUGUCCAAAAACAUCAGUAGUGAUGCUGCUGAUGGAACCUCGGUGGCUAACAGAUGAACAGAAUCCAUACAACAGUAUAUUUUCUGUUUGAUUUAUAUCUGUUUAUGACCAUCUUUAUAACUUUACCCUGAAAGGUUUUUUUUAUUACAGCUACUUUUAAUUUAGUUUAACAGAUGGCAUGAUGGUAUGACUGACAGGCUGUUCCUGGAGCAAGAUCCUUAAAUGCAGUCAGCAAAAAGGCUCCAGGUGGCAAACUUCAUCUAUUUUAUGUUAGUGUGUAUUUUAAUCAAAUCACUGGAACUCAGAUAAACUUCUGUGUCACCUGUUACUGUUGUCAUCAGUCAGACUGAAACAAACACAAUAAAAGGACAAAUAAAAUAUG